rnacentral:rRNA from 1 species
UACAGAGGGUGCGAGCGUUAAUCGGAAUUACUGGGCGUAAAGCGCACGUAGUCGGCUUUGCAAGACGGGUGUGAAAUCCCCGGGCUCAACCAGGGAACUGCAUCCGAGACUGCAUUGCUAGAGUAUGGGAGAGGGAAGCGGAAUUUCUGGUGUAGCAGUGAAAUGCGUAGAUAUCGGGAGGAACACCAGUGGCGAAGGCGACUACCUGGCCUGUUCUUGACGCUGAGGCGCGAAAGCUAGGGGAGCAAACGGG